GAAAUGUAAAAUUAUAGAGCUGCUAACUCUAAUUAUAGUGAUUUAAACCAUUAACAUUUCU
rnacentral:tRNA from 1 species